rnacentral:lncRNA from 1 species
UACUCCACUCCCUAUAACUUUCGGCUCAAACGAUAAGACGAUGGCGCUAAGGCGACCACGAAUUGGACCCACCGACCGAAAAGUUAGGUGGUCCCCGGGGAUCACCACCCUAAUCCCGUCCGAAUCUUAACACCACCGACCACUAAAAUUUACCAUCAGGAUGUAAACUCCACUCCUUUCUUCCAAACUUCAAAUUUUUUCAAAAAAAGAUGUCAAGCCUCGGUCUCAACUCCUCUUACUCUAAAAUUUAUGCCUCCUUCUUCCCUGUCCUUCAAUCAAAUCGGAAACAAAUAAAGAGACCUCACCGGCACU